AGCGUAAUAGCUCACUGGUCGAGUCGGCCUGCGCGGAAGAUGUAACGGGGCUAAACCAUGCACCGAAGCUGCGGCAGCGAACGUAUCACUUAAAGCGAUUCAGCGGGUUACGAUUGACGGAGCGAAGCGACGUCAAAGCGUAUACAAAGUCGAGUCGGUUUAAGGAUACGUUCGUUGGGUAGGGGAGCGUUCUGUAAGCCUGUGAAGGUGGCCUGUGAGGGUUGCUGGAGGUAUCAGAAGUGCGAAUGCUGACAUAAGUAA
rnacentral:rRNA from 1 species